rnacentral:misc_RNA from 1 species
AUGCGAUAAGUAAUGUGAAUUGCAGAAUUCAGUGAAUCAUCGAAUCUUUGAACGCACAUUGCGCCCGCCAGUAUUCUGGCGGGCAUGCCUGUUCGAGCGUCAUUUCAACCCUCAAGCCCCCGGGCUUGGUGUUGGGGAUCGGCACAAAGGCCUCGCCAGAGGACGCGCCGGCCCCUAAAUCUAGUGGCGGUCUCGCUGCAGCCUCCAUUGCGUAGUAGCUAACACCUCGCAACUGGAACGCGGCGCGGCCAAGCCGUUAAACCCCCAACUUUUCUGAAUGUUGACCUCGGAUCAGGUAGGAAUACCCGCUGAACUUAA